rnacentral:rRNA from 1 species
UACGGGAGGCAGCAGGGGGAAUAUUGCACAAUGGGCGCAAGCCUGAUGCAGCCAUGCCGCGUGUAUGAAAAAGGCCUUCGGGUUGUAAAGUACUUUCAGUCGUGAGGAAGGUGUUAAGGUUAAUAACCUUAGCAAUUGACGUUAGCGACAGAAGAAGCACCGGCUAACUCCGUGCCAGCAGCCGCGGUAAUACGGAGGGUGCGAGCGUUAAUCGGAAUUACUGGGCGUAAAGGGCACGCAGGCGGUUAAUUAAGUUGGAUGUGAAAUCCCCGGGCUUAACCUGGGAAUGGCAUUCAAGACUGGUUAGCUAGAGUCUUGUAGAGGGGGUAGAAUUCCAUGUGUAGCGGUGAAAUGCGUAGAGAUGUGGAGGAUACCGGUGGCGAAGGCGGCCCCUGGACAAGACUGACGCUCAUGUGCGAAAGCGUGGGGAGCAAACAGGGAUUUAGAUACC